GAUGAACGCUGGCGGCGUGCCUAAUACAUGCAAGUCGAGCGAACAGACGAGGAGCUUGCUCCUCUGACGUUAGCGGCGGACGGGUGAGUAACACGUGGAUAACCUACCUAUAAGACUGGGAUAACUUCGGGAAACCGGAGCUAAUACCGGAUAAUAUAUUGAACCGCAUGGUUCAAUAGUGAAAGACGGUUUUGCUGUCACUUAUAGAUGGAUCCGCGCCGCAUUAGCUAGUUGGUAAGGUAACGGCUUACCAAGGCAACGAUGCGUAGCCGACCUGAGAGGAUGAGCGGCCACAGUGGAGCGGAGACGGGGACAAGACUCAUAGGGAAGGCAGAAGAAGGGAAGGUGAGGAAAGGGGGGAAAGCCGGACGGAACAGGGCGGAGUGAGAGAUAAAGGUGUUGGGAUAGAAAAACUUGUUUAUGGGGGAAAAAAAAAUGUGAAAGAAAAAAUACAGGUAUUGAGGGUACAUAAUAAAAAAGACACGGCAAACUACGGG
rnacentral:rRNA from 1 species